GCAGAUUUGCAAGGGCACCCCUCAACAGACCAGACGUGCGAAACCCACGUUCCCGAUCAUCAUGGCGACGGCCUGCGGCUAGAGACGAAGAACUCUCGUACGCCCUAAACUUUUCCACAAGACUGGAUCCUGGCUGCAGGCAUACACGCAAAGGUGCAGCAAUGGGAUCUACAAAUAUGUGGCAGAUGCACAUGAACGAGGAAGGAUUUAAUACACCCAUAAAGAAAGCAAGUGUUCCUCUCUGUUGCUCGUCCUUUAUACCUGAAUGUGAAGAUGAUUUGAAGCCUAAAGUGGGGAUGACAUUUGAAGGAUUGAAGGCUGUGGAGGAGUUCUACAAAUCUUAUGCACAUCAAUCUGGUUUUGGAGUUCGUAUUGGGCAACAGAAGAAGUUAGAAAAUGAGGUAGUUCGCACUAAACGAUACAUGUGUAAUAGACAAGGAUUCAAGUUUGAAAUGGUAACAAGAUUGAUGAUCCAUCAAAGAAGAGGCGUAAGAACACAGACACAAGGUGCGGUUGUGAUGCACACAUCUUUGAGUUGGAGGAAACAAUUCACUCUCUAUUGAUCAUCAAGUGUUACAUACAUGGUUUAUAUACACCGGGCGCUGCCCGAGUCAUG